UGUUUCCUUCAACCUACGAUUUAAAAGCAUGGAGGAGCAGCUCAUUCUUCGGCUUGUUACUUCCCCCUGUGCAACUUUUCAUUAAUCAGAAAUAUAGUUUUGUUUCAGUGAUCAGCGUUCACCAGGAAGAAUGGGCAUCCACACUGGCACUGCUUCUUAUGUCUUUUCCUUAUAUUUUCUUCGCUUCAUCCUUCACACAUCAGCAGCCUACGGAAGUGCAACCAUAUCAUCGACUCUGGGGGUGUCUUCAGCAACGAACGUGUUCAGAGUUAGUUUGUUGUCCACGAACGUUAUGAAUUGUGUAGUUUAAUGUGCAUAUUAAAUGAUUGUUACCACAACAGGUCACCACCACCACCACCGCCGCCACCAACUAGGGGAGGAAGAGACUUUGGCCGGGACUACCCUCCAGCUAGGGAUUACAGAGACAGGGGUGCUAGAGAUAUGAGAGAUGAGAGACCUGGGUACAGGAACAGAAGUCCUCGUUAUCGAUAGUGAACACUGUAUAAAAGUAGGAGGCCAGUUAUGUGGAUUGGGUAGAUGAACAAUGUCCCAGGAUGCAGAGCUACAGAACAAACAGAGUUGCUAAAUGUAGCAUCUGAAUGUUGUCUGCAACAAAAUGUUAUGCCCAAGAAGGUUGUGGCACUAUUACGUUUUUGUUGUAACUGUGACCCUGUGUUCAAAAAAUGUUUGAAAUUUUAUAUGGAAGUUGAAUCUAGGAUACAUUGUAUAUUGUAAAUAUUUUAUAGUGAAGCCAAAGACUUUUACAUAGAACUGUCUAAUAAUGGUUCAUAUUGUUACAUUUAAAAAUCUUUUUUAGGAAUACCUAUUUAUUACAAGUUAUUCAACAGGAUAAGUAUUUCAAAAUUGACUUGUAUGCAUGUUCAAAAAAAAAUGUGGGCAUUUGGGAGCCCUCCAGUUACUAUAUAUAACAGUUUGUGAAUUAUGCCAUUUUUGACGUCCUUGGUACCCAUUUUCUGUGUACAACUUCUUUUCAAUCCAAUGUUAGUAUUGGACAGUCUAAGUAUAAACACCAAUGUGGACAAAGGGUAUCUGAAAAAGGGAAAAUGUUCAAAAUUUCAUGAAGCCAUGCCCAGUUCAAUGUUUCGUAACACAUGAGGUAAUUUUAGUUGAAUAUAUCCAAUUUUAUUUCAGACUUGUAUGAUGGUAAUGCUGUAUAAGUGGGUUUUGUGUUUUAGGUGGUUUUAGUUUUAAUGCUUGUGAAUCUGACAAGUACGCCAAAUACAUAUGUCACUGCAGGAUCAAAGGUCUGUCUUGCUUCAGUGCUGUAAAUAAAAUAACAUUAAUAAAAUACUAUUUUGAAAUCUUUUA